GAUGAAGAACGCAGCGAAAUGCGAUAAGUAAUGUGAAUUGCAGAAUUCAGUGAAUCAUCGAAUCUUUGAACGCACAUUGCGCCCGUCAGUAUUCUGGCGGGCAUGCCUGUUCGAGCGUCAUCACGCCCCUCAAGUCCCCUGUGGACUUGGUGUUGGGGAUCGGCGAGGCUGGUUUUCCAGCACAGCCGUCCCUUAAAUUAAUUGGCGGUCUCGCCGUGGCCCUCCUCUGCGCAGUAGUAAAACACUCGCAACAGGAGACCGGAGCGGUCCACUGCCGUAAAACCCCCCAACUUUUUAUAGUUGACCUCGAAUCAGGUAGGACUACCCGCUGAACUUAAGCAUAUCAAUAAGCGGAGGA
rnacentral:misc_RNA from 1 species